AAGUGGGGAAAAGUUGGCUAGCGCGUGGGUCCGCGCUGACGGCGCGGGCGGAGGAGAGCGGGGUGCGCUCGGGCCUGGGGGAGAUGCGGGGCGAGGGGCGGCCGCCGGCUCCGAGUCCCCCAGGCGCUGCACCCGGCCGGGCAGGGCGCCGGCCACGCCGGUCCUAGGAUUCCGCAGCCGCCUUUCUCUCCCCUCCUCUUGCUAUUUGCAAAAGAAUCCAGCUGCGUGGCUGUUUGCCGGGCUCCUGCACCCCAACCCCCAUUUCCCCACCUCCGUCUGUCUCCUGGGAUGAUCUUGUCUUCUUUCCCCCACUCCAAAAGAAGGUGGGGGCAUCGGGGGCUGGUGAAAAAUCCCCGCCACGGGGGGAAAAAAAGCGUUGUUAGCUAGGAGUGGGAUGUGCUUGUACAAUAGUGGAGGGGGGGAAGAAAAAAAGAAAAAAGGAAAGAGAUCUAUCAAUCUCUCACCCAUCUUCCUAUCUCGGAUCUUUCAUCUCCCCUAUCUAAAUAAACAAGGCAGGUCGCAGUGGAAAUCCACCGGCUGAAAUCGUGUGGAUUUCAAGCAAGUGGCGGGGCGGGCAAAGUCAGGCAGCGGGGCAGAGACGCAGCAGCUUCCAGCGCCCCAGUCGGGUUUAUUUAGCAAAGGGAAGAAGCGUGCGGGAGCGGGCCAGGUACGGGGUUUGCAGGGGAGCUCGCCCGGCUGCCUGCACGCUUGCACCCCCGGAAGGUCGGCUCGCAGCGCUCCCCGCCCGCCGCAGCCCGCGGGGCCGCUGCUCCGCGGCGCGCAAACCUUUCCCCGCGGUCCUUUCUCUCGCGGUGCCUGGGUCGCCUUUGCUGCUUCUUCUUUUUUUUUUUUUUUUUAAUUUUUUUGAAACUGCAAUAGAAAUAAAACGUCCUCUGGGUGCCAUCGAAACAGCGGGCAGGUUGUGUUCCUGCAGUCCUUGGAGCACCUCGUCAGGCUGGGGCCGGGCUGCCGGCGCGGAGCUGGAGAAGGGCUGCGCGCCCAGCCGCCGCCGAGGACCGGCUGCGGGGCGGCCGAGAGCCGAAUAUUUAUGUUAUAUUUUUAAAAAUUUAAAUAAAUAAAUAAAUAUAUAAAGGGGUUCUCCCCUCCCCUGAAAACCCAGCAUAGGCGCCAUCUGCUCGGAGCAUUUGCUGCUGCCAUCUCUCCUUUGUUACAGCAGAUACAUUAGUAAGAAUUUGUGGAUUUAUUAUUAUUUUGGGGGGAAGGGAAUAGAUAUUAAAGUGGGCUUGCCUUGGGAGAGGGAUACCUUUCUGGAGGGAGGGAAGAGGACUUCUAUUUUUCAUCAUUGUAACAUCAAAGGAGACUCGCUGGUUGCAUUUAAAACAAAAUGUUUUGCGACCAUAUUUGAACCUGGUUUCAUCAAGGUCCUCAUCGCCAGUUGACAUUUCGUCCUUUACCAAUCCUUUAGCAAUCGCUUAUUCUACCCCCCUCCCCCGUUUAGAUGGUGGAGUGGCUGUUAGAAUGUCUGUACUUGCAGACGCCUAAUUUCUCCAGGAGGCAAUUUGCCCCACAGAGCCUCUGUAUAAUUGCAAGGGUUGUUUUUGAGGAGGGGGAAGUUGGGGGGGGGAGUCCGGGAAGGGGGAGUUGUCUGGGGUGCAUUGCCAAGCUGGCAGCAGCGAAGGAGCCAGGAGUGUUUGCAGUUGUGUGUAAAGGGGGAAAGAAGCAGGUAGGUUCGCUUUGCUUUUGCUCUCUCCUCUCUGGUGUUCCUGGGACCUCAGGAGCAAGCCCUGGCCAGGAGGACUGGCGGCAGCUGGGCAUGGGGGGCGAGGGGUGCCUAGUGCAACAUCCUUCCAUCCUUCAUUUGUUUCACGGCUGUUUCAGUCUUGCUCAGAGCAGUGCUGGGGAAAGCCGGCUGACCCUGGAGCAGUGGCAGGGAAGGAGAGGUGGGGAGGAGACCAGGGGGCAAAGGAUAUCCCACCUGCCUUCCUGGAGUGCACGGAGCCCAGGGCAUAUGCAGGGGUUUAAGCAGGGAGAGUGGUCCAACCAGUUUUCAGACAAGGCUAUUUAUUAUCCAAAAGCAGCUGGCUUUUCUGUCUGUCCUAUGUCACCCGGAAGGUGGGAGUGCAGGCAGGGGAAAGGCAAGAAUUGGAUGCAGUUUCGGCUGUAGGGCCUGUGCAAGUGUGCCUUUCCACAACGAUGCAGGAGUUGUGGGUCUCGUGUGCUCUGGAGCCCUGGCCAGCAAAAUGAGUGCUGCCGCAGCCCCGAUCCGGUGUCCACAUUUUAGUUCAAAUGUGAAAGAAACAGCCUAAAACGUGGUGCAUCUUCAGUUGGGUGGCAGCCCGCCGGCCUCAGGUUCUUUAGAGAUGAUGCAACUUAGUAUAACUGAUGGUUUGAGAAACAGAAGAGCACACAAACAGCAUCGAUCAUCUUGCAGGGGGGUUGGCAAGUGGGAGAAGGGCUCCAUAAUGAGCUAGUUAAAUUUACAGACAGGGCCAGUGAGAAGAGGAGUGAGGUAGAAAAGAGAGAGUGGGAGACAGCUGGGGAUGAAGACUGAGGCUUCUGGUUUGUUUCAAAAUGUUUGACCCAGAUGGAUAUGGCUUUUAAAACCGGAGUUCAGACACAGCUUUCAAGAAAAACAAACACAAAACAACACAGUGACAGUAGUGGACAGGGUAGGAUGAGGACCAGUGACUGGCCACGCAGAGGGAAGGGCCGUGAGCCCACUGUGCCAGGCCGGGUGAGUGGGGAGGCAGAUGAACCCCAGGCCGUGCAGGAGCUCUGAGGCUUCCCGAAGGAAAUAAGAAGGCCAGGGUAGAUUACACAGACCCAGCGAAGGUGAUUUUUUCGACAACCCACCAACAGGUUUCCUUGGAAGGUUAGUAAUUUUCCGUAUGAAUUCACGAUUUUGCAGAACUACUAGAGACCCCAGAUUUGACACGGAAGUUAGGGUGUGUUAAUUCCAUGGUUGCCUUUUAAAUUAGGCUUUGCUGUGGCUGUGUGUUUUGAAGGCCGCUGUGCUUACAAUUAUCUUAACUUCCCAGGAUAGAGUAUAUCUCCAGGUGUCCACAUAUCUUUCAAAAUUGGGCCUCUGAUAAAUUUCAUAAGACCUGGGUCCCUCUUUUUUUUUGGUAGUUGGUGGGGGGAGUGAAGUUUGUCUCCCUUCUGCACAGAAGGGAACCCCGUAUCAUUAGAAGUGUGAUAUAAGUCAGCUGCUCUGAUUCUAAGGGAGAAUAGAAAUGUGUUCAUCCAAGGUGUUAUGCCAGGCGGACUUUAUUCAUUUGUAAUUCACACCUGAGAGAAAAAAUAGCCAUGAGCAUAUUUUAACAACCCAUAAUAUUUUUAAAGGGUAGUCUUUCCCUCCCUGAAAAUUAUGCACGGGGGCAUAUUUCCUUUUUUUCUGAGGGUGGGAGGUGGCUCUCUGUGCUUUGGCCUUGGCGAUUUUUGUCUGGCCUUCAAAAUAUUUCGUAACAGAAAACGAGUCAUUUCUCAAGUGCUGGAGUGAAUGCAGUUGCUUUGGUGAAGGCGGCCUUAGGAGCAUGGAGGGAGGCUGAGUCAGAUGCUGGGGUGCGAUGCUUUGCUGACCACUGUGCAGGGCCAGAUGGGUCUCAUUGACCAAAGGGGAGGCCAAUUUUGGGUGCCCCGGACAGUAAUUAGCAUCUGUCUCAGGUGAGAUGGGAGCGCGCAAAGCAAUCGAUCAGUUUCCCGCUGUAGAGGGCACUGGUUUCUAGCGCCUUAUCAGAAUCGAGCUCUUGGCACUGUCUUUGGGCUUAGAACACGGCUUGCACCCGCCUUCUCUUUUUCCUUUUCAUCUCCUUUCUCCGAUCGCUUUGCAUUCUCUGUUGCUUGUUGUGAUAAAAUACUUUCCAAAAUAAACUUUCAGUUGAAUUGGCUUUUAGUUGAUGGCAAGGCUGCAACGCCCAGCAGCGUCUGGCGCCUCUUGGCAGCUAGGGGGAGCUCGGUGCCCGUGUCAUGCGUGGAGCCGUCGCUGCGAGGGGCCGGGACCCGGCUUCCAUCAGCCGCGGAAGCAGUUUACGUUGCUGCAAAAUGUCCUAAGUGUGAAGUUGUAAUAUUGAUUUUCCUGCAGAGAGUCGAGCAGGACAAAAUGAGAAUAUAAGUUUGAGAAAUCUAUUUUCGAGCCAUCGGCAUUGAUUUACAAGCCCUCACUAGGCAGAUGGGGACAAUUUUCUUUUUUUUAAUUUUUUUUUUUUAAACAGUUACAAUUGUUAGCUUUGAAUGGGCGUGUUUCCUCCGGUUAGUCUGUGGUCUUGACUUUCUGAAUUGCAUUAGGUCGUUGAGGCAUGCCUGAUGGGGUGAGGGGGUCUGCGAAGAGUGAACCUCGUUUUGUCCAUUCCUGUGUUGCAUGUCACAGACCUGGGGAUCUGCCACUGCUCUGGGGAGUCAUGCGUCUCAAACAGCUUGAUGAGUGGAAAUCUUUUCAGCUCAGAUUUUAUAACACUUGGAUCCUCAAUUCCAUUUAUUAGGUAACGUUCCCACUGUACUAAGUGAAAUAGCACCAUUCCCCAAAGAGAUAAAAUGCCAACUCAAAUAAUGUGUAAAACUUUGUCUGGAAGGAGUAUGUGCUUGCUAGACCCAGCGUUGCUAAUACCUUUCACCCCAAACGGUGCCCUUAAUGGAUGGCUUUUAAUGACACGAUUUCUCCCCUAACCGUGUAAUUUCGUGCUGGGGAAUAUGUGUGCUUUUGAUCACGGAAUUUGUGGAUCUAUAAUGUCUUCUUCUCCAAGUUCAAGAAAUCUGCAGAGGGCUUCCCAGGUGGCGCAGUGGUUGAGGGUCUGCCUGCCGAUGCAGGGGACACGGGUUCGUGCCCCGGUCCGGGAAGAUCCCACAUGCCGCGGAGCGGCUGGGCCCGUGAGCCAUGGCCGCUGAGCCUGCGCGUCCGGAGCCUGUGCUCCGCAACGGGAGAGACGCCACAACAAGAGCCAAACCUCAGUGAGAUCUACCCGAGCUGUCGUCCCCUCCCCAAGAAAAGCCAUUUGUUGACCGCCUCCCUGGAGCAGUAGUUUUCCCCAGGCGAGUAUAAAAAGUGCCGAGAGCAGGCUAUUUGGAGACACAUGAAAAGCAGAGGGACACACUUCGUGUGUCUUCUGCACGAGCCUGCGAGCGGGGUGAGGGGAACAGCAUCGUUUUUACUGGCAAAAGUGACACCAGAUUGCGCUUUGAUUAAUGGUGCUACAUUCGCGGGGACUCUCGUCCGGCAUUUUGACAUAUGCAAGUCUUUUGUGUAGUUGCUGAAAUUCAAGAAAUUCAUUCUUUAUUUCUUUUUCCGAGGCAGCUGAUCAUCUGCUUGGGUGUUGAAUCAGACAGACUGAGCUCUGGUACUGUAAUGAAAUCCCAGACCACACAAAAUUAGGUAACUUCAAAGUAAAAAAAAAAAAAAAAAAAAAA